UUGAUAAUGUGCUACAACAAUCAAAAUUUUACCAUUUUUAGAUUUUUAAUAUAAUAUGCAUUAUUAUUCUUAUGCCUAAAUUGUAAAUAAUUUCCAAAAUAAAUGGCCAUUACUGUCACCUAAAGAAAUACAAAAUAUGUGUUGCUGCUGUGGGAGACAAAAUUGCCGGGGGUGGGGUGGGGUGGAAUAUAUAAAGUAGGUAGAUUUAGAUUUCAUUACAGAUUGGCAUUGGAACUUUGCUCAGUGUCUGACCUGUGCUGAAUCACCU